rnacentral:rRNA from 1 species
CAGAUGUGAAAGCCCCGGGCUCAACCUGGGAACUGCAUUUGGAACUGGGGAGCUAGAGUUUGGAAGAGGAGAGUGGAAUUUCAGGUGUAGCGGUGAAAUGCGUAGAGAUCUGAAGGAACAUCAGUGGCGAAGGCGACUCUCUGGUCUAAAACUGACGCUCAGGUACGAAAGCGUGGGUAGCAAACAGGAUUAGAUACCCUGGUAGUCCACGCUGUAAACGAUGUCAACUAGCCGUUGGCUCUCAUAAGAGAGUUAGUGGCGCAGCUAACGCAUUAAGUUGACCGCCUGGGGAGUACGGCCGCAAGGUUAAAACUCAAAUGAAUUGACGGGGGCCCGCACAAGCGGUGGAGCAUGUGGUUUAAUUCGAUGCAACGCGAAGAACCUUACCUACCCUUGACAUCCAAAGAAUUACGUAGAGAUAUGUAAGUGCCUUUCAGGAACUUUGAGACAGGUGCUGCAUGGCUGUCGUCAGCUCGUGUUGUGAAAUGUUGGGUUAAGUCCCGUAACGAGCGCAACCCUUAUCCUUAGUUGCCAACAGGUCAAGCUGGGAACUCUAAGGAGACCGCCGGUGAUAAACCGGAGGAAGGUGGGGACGACGUCAAGUCAUCAUGGCCCUUAUGGGUAGGGCUACACACGUGCUACAAUGGUCGGUACAAAGGGCUGCGAACUUGCGAAAGUAAGCCAAUCCCAUAAAGCCGAUCUUAGUCCGGAUUGGAGUCUGCAACUCGACUCCAUGAAGUCGGAAUCGCUAGCAAUCGCGAAUCAGAAUGUCGCGGUGAAUACGUUCCCGGGCCUUGUACACACCG